UUGUAGAAUAGAAUAAACAAU
ensembl:piRNA 21ur-12833 ncRNA